UGAAAGCAUCUAAGCGUGAAGCCGGCCUCAAGAUGAGAUAUCCCACUGAUUUAAUCAGGUAAGGUCCCAGGUAGACUACCUGGUAGAUAGGCUGCAUGUGUAAGGACGGCGACGUCUUUAGCUUGGCAGUACUAAUAGACCGAGGGCUUGACCUAUU
rnacentral:rRNA from 1 species